CCAAUCCAAUUUGCAUGUCAUAUAUCUCUACGUACAAAAUUAUUUUGUAUGAUAUUUUUUCACAUCAAAGAUUGUAUUCUCUUCUCUAUCUUGUAUCCAAAUCUAAUUUAGUUUUGAUGAAAUGAAGGUUCUAAAAUUGGAUUUUAAAAUAUUUCUGAUCAGGAGAAUCUGUUCUCAUUCAGAUCAACCUCUCCAUGUCAAUAA
rnacentral:lncRNA from 1 species